rnacentral:lncRNA from 1 species
CAGGAAUAUUCGAACGGAAAUUUACAUACUUUUUAAGACCUACUCAGUUGUGUGUGAGAAGGCAAAAAUAUAUGUCUAUGUACUUCAGGUAGCAACUAUUUGCCACGUUUACCGGGGCUGUAAUACUACCACUUGCAUGUGAUGAACCAGGUGGGAAUCGUAAUCGUAGUAUAGAGAUUAAUGCCCAGCAUAACGUACGCAAAAGAGCCAUAU